CUAAAAGAUAAAGUCUCUGUUUUUGGUACAUCUAUACGGACGAAUAAUUUUGUAGAGAGUUUUCAUUACAAUUGGCUUUAUCACCAAUCAAGAAAUAAAUAUUGCAAAACUAGCAGAAGGACUAAAUAUUCAUUAAAAAAAUUUCUUUUUGCGCUCAGCAAUACAACACAAUUAAUCAAAGAGAAUUUUGGUUUGUUUUAAAAUCUUAAUUUUUUAAAUAUAUAUUAAUAUUUUGUGGCGAUUACAUCGUCACAUACAUCCCGAAAAUUAACGAUCAAAAACACUUAUACAAAUAUGGCCACACAUAGGCGAAAAAGUACCGAGACACAGGUAAAUAUAAAUAAAAACAUAACAGACGAGACAGAGAGAGACGAAAGACGAGAAGCACAGAGACAAAUAUCGAAACGUUAAGAGACAAAGGAAAUAAACAAACAUAAAAUUCUCGAAGCCUCUCAAAGCUUCUCGAAGGUCGAUUUUUGAGGCAAAAGAUAUCAAGAGCGAUUUUGCGUUCAAAAGAUUUGGUUAUCGCGGACGAUCACCGCGUAAGGACGUACAUUGUAAAUACGAACGAUUAUAUUUUGCAUCUAUCUCCGAAAUUAUGUACAACCUCUUAUAAAGACUUUUCGUUACUUGUAAAUAUACUCUACAGUUACAUGUA